rnacentral:tRNA from 1 species
GGAGAGUUGGCCGAGCGGCUUAAGGCAGCGGUUUGCUAAACCGCGGGGGUCUAAAAAACCCCGCACAGGUUCGAAUCCUGUACUCUCCGCCA